CCAGAGUACAGCAUCAGCUGAGCUGGCCUUACUCUGGGGACUAGCUCUUUUGCUGGAAGCGGUUCCUGAUUUACAGCUCUUGGUUUCUCCCAGACAUGUUGGUGGGAGAGAUUUUGCUUUUUAAGGGUUGUUAGAAGGAGUAAAUUUUUUUUUUUUUUUUAACUAAAAAGAGCUCGCAGAAUUUCAGCAGUUUUCUGAUUUUUAUAUUUUAUUCCUCUUCCUAUCCAAUCCCUGCCUUUUGAGUCCAGGUGGUAAGUGCAUUUUCUUUAAUGUUUUUCCUGCUUUUCUUCCCAAAUGUGUCUUUUUCUUUGGGCUACUGUACCCUGCUUCCAGUGCUGUCCCCGGCAUAGGUCCAUCUCUGCAGAAGCCAUUUCAGGAGUACCUGGAGGCUCAACGGCAGAAGCUUCACCACAAAAGCGAAAUGGGCACACCACAGGGAGAAAACUGGUUGUCCUGGAUGUUUGAAAAGUUGGUCGUUGUCAUGGUGUGUUACUUCAUCCUAUCUAUCAUUAACUCCAUGGCACAAAGUUAUGCCAAACGAAUCCAGCAGCGGUUGAACUCAGAGGAGAAAACUAAAUAAGUAGAGAAAGUUUUAAACUGCAGAAAUUGGAGUGGAUGGGUUCUGCCUUAAAUUGGGAGGACUCCAAGCCAGGAAGGAAAAUUCCCUUUUCCAACCUGUAUCAAUUUUUACAACGUUUUUCCUGAAAGCAGUUUAGUCCAUACUUUGCACUGACAUACUUUUUCCUUCUGUGCUAAGGUAAGGUAUCCACCCUCGAUCCAAUCCACCUUGUGUUUUCUUAGGGUGGAAUGUGAUGUUCAGCAGCAAACUUGCAAUAGGCUGGCCUUCUGUUUGUUACUUUCAAAAGGCCCACAUGAUACAAUUAGAGAAUUCCCACCACACAGAAAAAGUUCCUAAGUAUGUUAAAUAUGUCAAGCUUUUUAGGCUUGUCACAAAUGAUUGCUUUGUUUUCCUAAGUCAUCAAA
rnacentral:sRNA from 1 species